rnacentral:lncRNA from 1 species
GGCCUUGAAUCUGAAAGUAGGACUCCAAAGCACAGAUAGGGAAGGAAAGUUAAGCUACAGGAAGAGAAUCUUGUUUCCUCUUUUGUUCCCUCCCCAAUUCACAGAAUGAUUACUGCCCUUGCCUACAACCUGAAAUAUCUGUAAACAUUGCCUCCAACAGCUGAUGAAAUGCUUCUUCCAGACUGGUAAGGGAUGGUUCCAUUCCCCCAGACCUCAAACAGGUGUAGAAAAGGGUCAGAGAAACGCAUGGGAGAAGCUGAACUCACACUUACCUUUGAGCAGCAAACGAGACUCUAAUGAAGAACAAAUCUGCUGAUGAGUAUGUGACAGCCAUUUGAAUCAAGAUAUUUGCAAACUUCAGGCUCAAUCGCAACGUGUUUCUGUAUACACAAUCAUGCAUAUGAUAUACGAUUUUGAAACAAAAGUGAACUUUCUUUCCUUUGAUAACACCCACUGAAAUGCAACAAGAAUUGUCAGCUGCAAGCAACCAGUUGCUAUUCUGGCUCUAACGUGCUUAUGCAAUUAAUAGUCCAGCAGUCUGGUCCAAGGCCCCUCUUUGCUUGGAGCAAGAGUGUUAAUGAAGCUUAGAGGCCAAGCCUUUUAUUUAUAGAUAUAGUGUCCUCUUGAAAUGUAACAACAUACAAAAAAAGUAAUAAAACAGAGAGGCAAUCGGG